rnacentral:rRNA from 1 species
AUUCCAGCUCCAAUAGCGUAUACUAAAGUUGUUGCAGUUAAAAAGCUCGUAGUUGAAUUUCUGGUCUUGGACGGCGGUCUACCACAAUUGUGGUACGUACCAACUGUCCGAGUCCAUCCUCGGGGAAAACAUGCCUGUGAUUCAGUUCAUGGGUAUGGGAUCCUCGUCAUUUACUGUGAGCAAAAUAGAGUGUUCAAAGCAGGCUUAUGCCGUUGAAUACAUUAGCAUGGAAUAAUAAGAUAAGACCUUGGUCUAUUUUGUUGGUUUGUACUCCAAGGUAAUGAUUAAUAGGGAUAGUUGGGGGUAUUCGUAUUCAAUUGUCAGAGGUGAAAUUCUUGGAUUUAUGGAAGACGAACUACUGCGAAAGCAUUUACCAAGGAUGUUUUCAUUG